rnacentral:rRNA from 2 species
GAUGAACGCUGGCGGCGCGCCUAACACAUGCAAGUCGAACGGUUAAAGCACCUUUUAGGUGUGUAUAAAGUGGCGAACGGCUGAGUAACACGUGGGCAACCUGCCCUCCUCUUGGGGAUAGCCUCGGGAAACCGAGGAUAAUACCCGAUACUUCAAUGUGGCCGCAUGGCGACAUUGAGAAAGCUUUUGCGGAGAAGGAUGGGCCCGCGGCCUGUUAGCUUGUUGGUGGGGUAGAGGCCUACCAAGGCAAUGAUGGGUAGCUGGGUUGAGAGACCGACCAGCCAGAUUGGGACUGAGACACGGCCCAGACUCCUACGGGAGGCAGCAGUGGGGAAUCUUGCACAAUGGGCGAAAGCCUGAUGCAGCGACGCCGCGUGCGGGACGAAGGCCUUCGGGUUGUAAACCGCUUUCAGCAGG